CGUGCUCAGCGUACGUAGCCGCUCCUCCUGUGGAGCCGCUGCUGUGAAUGGUGAGGAGGACGGAAUAAAGAGCUGUCUGCUGUCACCGAACGGUUAAGAAGGCACCAAAGCAGGAACUUAAGACGGCACAUCCGGUGUGGAAGGUGAAAAAAUACCAGAGUUCACCCCACCCACAGCACCCUUUUGGCUGAGGAACCUGAAGAGCCUGUCUGAGCCUGCCACAAACAGCAGGCGCAGUGAAGACAGACCUGUACUGUGCAAUGGCGCUGUUGACCCUUCACAGGAUCCCAUCUAUCUCCACUGCUCCAGAUGAAAGCCUCCAAAGAAGAGGGAGACUUCAGAAAAGGGAGAGCUUUGCCCUCGUGAAAGGGGCAGUCCUCCUGUUGGAAGACAAUGAGAGUGGGAGCCUUCACGAGGAGGCGUCUUCUGCCGCGACUUCUCCAGUGAAGCUGGGCGGUGGAGCAUCAGAGACACGACACACACAACUUAAAGCUAUGGUUGAACUGCUCAGACCAGAAGAUACCAUCAAGCUGGCAGUGCAGUUGGAGUCUGUCAGCCCAGUCAGAGUCAGGUAUCUGAUCGUUGUCUCCACACUGGGAAACAAGCAAGAGAGCAUCUUGCUUGGCAUGGACUUCCCUACAUCAAACAGUGAUCAGUGCACCAUCGGUCUGGUCAUGCCAGUGUGGAGUGACACACAAGUGUAUCUGGAUGGAGAUGGUGGCUUUAGUGUGACCUCAGCAGAAGAGAGCAGAAUCUUUAAGCCCGUUUCCUUGCAAACCAUGUGGUCAGUGCUGCAGGUGUUACACGGUUGCUGCGAGCGGGCUGUCAAGGCGGCACUGAUUCCAGGCUCUGGGCUGGAAUGGGCCCAGCAUUACCACCAGCACAUAGAGUCAGACCGCCUCUGCCUCAAUGAGUGGGAAGCCAUGAAUGACCUGGAGUCAGUCCGCAGGGACAGUAAUGGACAGAAAGUUUCCAAUGAGCAACUGAUCAAAGAGCACCUGAGAGACAUCAUGAGGACUGAAGACCUGGACAACCUCACAUCUAAGAAGGUGGGGAGACUGAAAGAGGAAGUCUGUCUAAAAAAUGUCAGAGAGUACAUUGAUAAUGAGAUCCUAGUUACCAUGGCUCAGAUGGACAAGCCUUCCAAAAUAUUUGAUUACCUUUACCUGGGCUCUGAGUGGAACGCAGCUAACUUUGAGGAGCUGCAAAAAAACAAUGUUGGCUACAUCCUGAAUGUGACAAGGGAGAUUGACAACUUUUUCCCAGAGUCCCUCACUUACAUGAACAUUCGGGUAUACGAUGUGGAAAAAACCGAUCUGCUGUCCCACUGGACAGACACAUACAACUUCAUCAACACCGCAAGGAAGAGUGGACAAGCGGUGUUGGUACACUGUAAGAUGGGUGUGUCUCGCUCUGCAUCCACAGUCAUCGCUUACGCCAUGAAGCAGUAUCACUGGCCACUAGAUGUGGCACUGGCUUAUGUUAGGGAUCGCCGGCCCGUCGUUAAACCCAAUGAGGGCUUCAUGAAGCAGCUGCAGACCUACAGCGGCAUCCUCAGUGCAAGGUCAGAGAAGGUGAGCAGACUGCCUGUCCUAAGUCUUCUCUUUCUAACAUACACAGGCAGUAUUUAUCUUUUUCUUUUUUAUCUCCAGGUCAUACCGAGUGUAAAUCGCAGCGGAAGGAUGAACCUCUUCUCCCUCAUGCAGUCUAUUAGUGAACUAGAUGAUGCGGAUAAAGAACAUGAACAGGUAAAUAUUCUUUAUCAGUGUUUCUCUGCUUAG
ensembl:lncRNA